rnacentral:rRNA from 1 species
CAGCAGCCGCGGUAAUACGUAGGUGGCAAGCGUUGUCCGGAAUUAUUGGGCGUAAAGCGGGCGCAGACGGUUACUUAAGCAGGAUGUGAAAUCCCCGGGCUCAACCUGGGAACUGCGUUCUGAACUGGGUGACUAGAGUGUGUCAGAGGGAGGUAGAAUUCCACGUGUAGCAGUGAAAUGCGUAGAGAUGUGGAGGAAUACCGAUGGCGAAGGCAGCCUCCUGGGAUAACACUGACGUUCAUGCCCGAAAGCGUGGGUAGCAAACAGGAUUAGAUACCCCUGUAGUCCCUGUCUCUUAUAC